rnacentral:rRNA from 1 species
AUGAACGCUGGCGGCGUGCCUAAUACAUGCAAGUCGCGCGAACAGACGAGGAGCUUGCUCCUCUGACGUUAGCGGCGGACGGGUGAGUAACACGUGGAUAACCUACCUAUAAGACUGGGAUAACUUCGGGAAACCGGAGCUAAUACCGGAUAAUAUAUUGAACCGCAUGGUUCUAUAGUGAAAGACGGUUUUGCUGUCACUUAUAGAUGGAUCCGCGCCGCAUUAGCUAGUUGGUAAGGUAACGGCUUACCAAGGCAACGAUGCGUAGCCGGCCUGAGAGGGUGAUCGGCCACACUGGAACUGAGACACGGUCCAGACUCCUACGGGAGGCAGCAGUAGGGAAUCUUCCGCAAUGGGCGAAAGCCUGACGGAGCAACGCCGCGUGAGUGAUGAAGGUCUUCGGAUCGUAAAACUCUGUUAUUAGGGAAGAACAAAUGUGUAAGUAACUAUGCACGUCUUGACGGUACCUAAUCAGAAAGCCACGGCUAACUACGUG